AGUGAACGCUGGCGGUAGGCCUAACACAUGCAAGUCGAACGGCAGCACAGGAGAGCUUGCUCUCUGGGUGGCGAGUGGCGGACGGGUGAGGAAUACAUCGGAAUCUACUCUGUCGUGGGGGAUAACGUAGGGAAACUUACGCUAAUACCGCAUACGACCUACGGGUGAAAGCAGGGGACCUUCGGGCCUUGCGCGAUUGAAUGAGCCGAUGUCGGAUUAGCUCGUUGGCGGGGUAAAGGCCCACCAAGGCGACGAUCCGUAGCUGGGCUGAGAGGAUGAUCAGCCACACUGGAACUGAGACACGGUCCAGACGCCUACGGGAGGCAGCAGGGGGGAAUAUUGGACAAUGGGCGCAAGCCUGAUCCAGCCAGACCGCGUGGGUGAAGAAGGCCUUCGGGUUGUAAAGCCCUUUUGUUGGGAAAGAAAUCCAGCUGGCUAAUACCCGGUUGGGAUGACGGUACCCAAAGAAUAAGCACCGGCUAACUUCGUGCCAGCAGCCGCGGUAA
rnacentral:rRNA from 1 species